GACGAACGCUGGCGGCGUGCUUAACACAUGCAAGUCGAACGGAAAGGCCCUGCUUUUGUGGGGUGCUCGAGUGGCGAACGGGUGAGUAACACGAGAGUAACCUGCCCUGGACUUUGGGAUAACUUCAGGAAACUGAGGCUAAUACCGGAUAGGAGCUCCUGCGGCAUGGUGGGGGUGGGAAAGUUUAGGCGGUUGGGGAUGGACUCGCGGCUUAUCAGCUUGUUGGUGGGGUAGUGGCUUACCAAGGCUUUGACGGGUAGCCGGCCUGAGAGGGUGACCGGCCACAUUGGGACUGAGAUACGGCCCAGACUCCUACGGGAGGCAGCAGUGGGGAAUAUUGCCCAAUGGGCGGAAGCCUGAUGAAGCAACGCCGCGUGCGGGAUGUCGGCCUUCGGGUUGUAAACCGCUUUCGCCUGUGACGAAGCGUGAGUGACGGUAAUGGGUAAAGAAGCACCGGCUAACUACGUG
rnacentral:rRNA from 1 species